GUGGGGAAUAUUGGACAAUGGGCGAAAGCCUGAUCCAGCCAUGCCGCGUGUGUGAAGAAGGUCUUCGGAUUGUAAAGCACUUUAAGUUGGGAGGAAGGGUAGUAACCUAAUACGUUGCUACUUUGACGUUACCGACAGAAUAAGCACCGGCUAACUUCGUGCCAGCAGCCGCGGUAAUACGAAGGGUGCAAGCGUUAAUCGGAAUUACUGGGCGUAAAGCGCGCGUAGGUGGUUCAGCAAGUUGAAGGUGAAAUCCCCGGGCUCAACCUGGGAACUGCCUCCAAAACUGCAUGACUAGAGUACGGUAGAGGGUAGUGGAAUUUCCUGUGUAGCGGUGAAAUGCGUAGAUAUAGGAAGGAACACCAGUGGCGAAGGCGACUACCUGGACUGAUACUGACACUGAGGUGCGAAAGCAUGGGGAGCAAACAGGAUUAGAAACCCUGGUAGUCC
rnacentral:rRNA from 1 species